UUUAAACUUAUUAUUUGUUUGUGUCUUUUCAGAUUGGCUCAUGUAGCGCUGCUCCUCCUCCUCCCAACACAGGGGUAAAAAUCCCCACCUGCAAGUUCUCAAUAAAAGACACCUUCCUCACCUCACCAGAAGACCUUUACAGGGUCUUUCUCAAUCAGGAUAUGGUGCAGGCUUUUACACGCAGCAGUGCUGUGGUCGAGGCUGAAAAGGGUGGAAAGUUUCGCCUGUUGGACGGAAACGUGAACGGAGAGUUCCAGGAGCUGGUUCCUGAGCAGAAGAUAGUCAUGAAAUGGAGGUUCAACUCAUGGCCUUGUG